GGUCAAUCAUGGUAGCCAUUGACAUACCUAUCGCUGCCGGUAAAGAAGACGACAAUCUUGGUGGUUGUAAUAGGUGUUUGUUCCUGUGUUCCGUGGGUUUAGUGUCAGUGCUUCGCCGCCUUUUGGGUAGUUCUUCGGGGAUCUCUUUCUUGGGUGGUUUGGUGUGUUGUUUUCUUUCGGGUAACCAUCUGAGAAAAUCCCUUCUACACACCCAUGUUUCUUUCGAAACUUCCAUUGAUAGCUUCGGUUCACACAUCAUUAGUAACAAACACUCUGGUAAAACGGAUUCUUUUUCUUCGUUUUCAGGCUCUUUGGGUUGUUCAAUUUGCUUCUCUGCUUCAAUUUGUUCGUCUUCUUGUUGGGGCGUUGUCGAAUUCAUUUCUACUUUACCCAGCAUUAGUAUUUCUUCAAUCUCUUUCAUUACGGUUAACUUGAAUCGUUCUUCUUCUUCUUCCAAUGCAGCUUCUUCAGUUACUAGUUCUAGUUCUUCCUCAUCAAUUUUCAUACUUCGUCUAUUCGAGCUCUCUGAUAACGAUAAACGAGGCGAAAUGGUCAGUUUUUC
rnacentral:misc_RNA from 1 species